GGGCCCGUAGCGCAGUCAGGAAGCGCGGCGGCCUCCGGAGUCGCAGGUCCCGGGUUCAAAUCCCGGCGGGCCCGCCA
rnacentral:tRNA from 3 species